GUGUUGUUCUUUGAAUUUUUUUUUGACAGAUGCGCCCACUAAUCAAUAAAACUAAAUAAUUUACCAGAACUAGGGGAUUCUACUGAUGAUUGAAAAAUGUGGAGUUUCUGCAAAACUCACAUUUUCCCUGGUGGUGGGGAAUUGUAACCUAUCGCUUGUACGUAGUACAAUCUCUGGUCACAAUGCUUCGCAUCAUCCUGUCAAACUGAACCGUAGGGACAAGUUAGGAUAUUGUAAUCAACCAUUACACUUAAACAACAUACAAAACAUGGUAUCCCUAUUCCUAAAACGGUUAGCACGACUCACAUCUCUUUGAGCAAUUUUCGAAAUACGCAAGAACAAAGACUUAAAAUUAAUAAAAGGGACUUCGUCAUUUUGAAUCGUCCUCAUUUGCCGCUACCGACUAGAGUCCGUUACACAUACUCUGGUCAAACGAAGAAUUUGUGAUCGUUUUGUAAUUUAAAGUGCUGUGAAUAUCUGUUAUUUGUACCCAGCAUUCCUGUAGCCGGCGAAAUGGUAAAUUUAGUUCUUGUAUUUUUGAGUCGUGUCUAAUUAGUGUCUUAAUUGUUAAUUGUAGUGUCAGGGAGUUGGUCCCAACCCGCACCAUCCAAACUAACCGUCAAGGACCGCGCUCUACGUCAAAAGUGGUCGUUUGGUUGGUGGUGCAAGGAGGUAACAAAAAUGUGAACCUCCAAGUUGGCAGAGCGCGCCAACCCGAGAAUCUGUUAGAGCGCAAUGGCGGAGGCCAUCCGGUUUUUAUCCAAGACAAAGACACAAAACCAAAGACACCAAAACCGUUGCUGUGCCAGGCCUGGCCGGAGGAAGAUUCUCCGACUUGACUCGACCACCGCGGGAUACACUAGAACACACGAACACACACACACAUGGUUAGGUUAGUUUUAAAUCGACGUAAAAUCAAUAAAUUAGGACAACUUAAAACGCAAUAAACAUGACUUUUCCCAUAACCCAAAGCGACGAUCUUUUGUGAUUCUUUUUGCCAGGACAGUGCGAUUUGCUGAAUCGAACCAGGAUUGUGAAAGGGUAGGUACAAUUCUCCUUCCCCACGUCAAAUGUGAGCAGUUGCAGAUCUUUACAUCUCUCUCUCAUCUCCAAGAGUCUCAAGUUCUGGUUUUUAUUUAAUUUUUAAUUAAUGAACUA